rnacentral:misc_RNA from 1 species
CCGAGUUUACAACUCCCAAACCCAAUGUGAACGUUACCAAACUGUUGCCUCGGCGGGAUCUCUGCCCCGGGUGCGUCGCAGCCCCGGACCAAGGCGCCCGCCGGAGGACCAACCAAAACUCUUAUUGUAUACCCCCUCGCGGGUUUUUUACUAUCUGAGCCAUCUCGGCGCCCCUCGUGGGCGUUUCGAAGAUGAAUCA